CCUACGGGUGGCAGCAGUGAGGAAUAUUGGUCAAUGGGCGCGAGCCUGAACCAGCCAAGUAGCGUGAAGGAUGACUGCCCUACGGGUUGUAAACUUCUUUUAUAAAAGAAUAAAGUGAGACACGUGUGCCUUUUUGUAUGUACUUUAUGAAUAAGGAUCGGCUAACUCCGUGCCAGCAGCCGCGGUAAUACGGAGGAUCCGAGCGUUAUCCGGAUUUAUUGGGUUUAAAGGGAGCGUAGAUGGUUUGUUAAGUCAGUGGUGAAAGUUUGCGGCUCAACCGCAAAAUUGCCAUUGAUACUGGUGGACUAGAGAACAGUUGCGGUAGGCGGAAUGCGUGGUGUAGCGGUGAAAUGCUUAGAGAUCACGAAGAACUCCGAUUGCGAAGGCAGCUUACUAAACUGCAACUGACAUUGAGGCACGAAAGUGUGGGUAUCAAACAAGAUUAGAUACCCUUGUAGUC
rnacentral:rRNA from 1 species